rnacentral:misc_RNA from 1 species
AAAGAAAUAAGUGAAGAGAAGAAAGAUGAAACAUAGCUUUUUUACAACUAAAUUUGCUACUAUGAUCUUAGUGCUGACUGAUAAAUCGAUCUUCAAGUCAAUUCUUCUUCCUACGUAUGUAUCUCCCACCAGGAGUAAACCUAGGAUAUGGAUGAACAGUGGCUAGUUCAAGAAUUCGGUGUACCACAGUCUUAGGUAAAGGACGCAUGGCAUGCUUCAGCUUUUGUUCAACCUCUUUCUUGUUCUGUUUCAGUUUCUGCUUCUGCACAGAGCUAGCUCUUAGAAGAUUUCUCCAUUUAUCCCUCAAAUCUACAGGCGUGCGAUAAGCAGUCGAUGAAAACAAAAGCUUCUUUAUAUCAGU